rnacentral:lncRNA from 1 species
AUUUCAACUCCCAAUAGAGCUUCCAAAUAGAACUUUAAUUAAAAUUUGACAAUUAAACUUGAAUAGGAUUCCACAGUAGCAUUCCAAUUAGAACUCAUCUUGAUGUGCACUUCAAUUAGAACUCUACAAUUACUUCAACAAGGAAUUCGAGUCACAUCCAAAUUCUAACACGUGCCAUAUCCAUAUUUUUCUCUGAAAGGGUCCUCAAAUACAUUCUAUUUCCUUACCCAAGCAUCACUGCUUAUACAUAGUUCAAUCAAUGUAUCAACUGCAACAAUGGCUGAUUGAAGAUCAUUCAUGCCUUCAAUGUAAUUUUGCAUGCUCCCAAGUUUAAAAUCACGACAUGAAGUUGAACAGUUUGUCCUCGCGCACAUGUUCUUGGUGUCCAAAAUCAAAGAAUGGAAUGCUUUAACAUAUUUCUAUAUCGUGUCCAUAUGUUUCAAGUUCCUCAAAGCCUCUCAUGCAAUCCACACUGUUAUCGUAUGGAAAAAACUGAUUCUUCAAUUCUUUAUGCAGCAAUUUUCAAAUUAGAAUUCUAGGCCUACUGCUAGUCUCAUCUUCAUGCAAUUGAGUCCCCCACCGUAAUUUCACGUCUCGCAACAAGUACAUGCUUGUAAUAUCAACCCGAUCUUCUUCAAGCAUAUGUGCAAUUUUGAAAUAUUUUAUCAUGUUCCAAAGAAAAUUCUCAAAUUCUUCGUCAUUCUAGAUGUUUCCAUUGAAUUUUUAUCGAACAAAGUUUUUAACGAGACAAUUAUUGUACAAAUAAUCAUCCAAGAGGAACGUUGUAAAA